rnacentral:lncRNA from 1 species
GGCGGCGGCGGCGGCGCGUCUGACACUCAAGCUUGAACUUGGAGGUGCAAGGAGCUGAGCAACUGAGUACAAACUCGGAAAAUGUGUGACGCGCGGACGCCGACGACGAUGGCAGGGCUUACAGCCCUGUCAGCAUUUCCCAACUGUGCAAGGAAAUGAGGACUCAGCAACAGAAGCACACCUGCCGCCCCUCAUCGCGGAGAAGACGCAAUAACCUAAGAUGAAGAAACCCAAACUCUGAGAAGGCUGCAACACAGCACCCCUAGAGACACCACCCCUUUUGGUGUCUUGACCAGUCACAGAUGGAGAGUCCCACGGACUGAGACGACAGGGGUCACCUAAGACCAUCAGAAAACACAGGGUUCCAGGUCUAUUCUGUCUGCCACAGACAAAUGGUACCGUUCACACACCGGCCACACUGUCUACGUGCUCGCCUCUAACCGGAAGGGAUCUCAUCUCAUGAUGCUGGACUUCAUCUUCAAAGCAAGGGGGCUUACAGUAAGCCCGAAUGAUUUCUACCCAUCCCUGAGGACUCCUGCCCCACCAAGCCAUCAAAUUGACUUCCCCCAGUUCUCGUAAGAGGAGAAAGACAAACGCCAGGGUCCCCAGGGGAAGACCUGAGAGAGAGAAGCUCACAAUGGACAAAUAAGAGUUCUAAGGAAGCCCCAAAGGCUGGACAUCCUCUCCUGCACGUGUGCCUCACGUCCAAGCAGCGUCAUUUUGCAUCAGCAGCUGACCCCCUCCAGGAGCGGGUGCUGACAUCUAAUUGGCACUGAAAACGAUGAUCAUGACAACCACUUGAUGUUGCUGGAGGCUUUUGCCAUUUAUCUGGGAGUCUGGCUCACAUCACAUCUUCUUAAGAGCAGAGGACUCAUUAAUUACUCAUGGAGCACAAGUCAUUAUUGUCCUUAAUUGUCACAUUGAGGUUGCUGUUGGAAGUGUCGUUCUCUGUCAACAUGAAAUAGAUUUUUCCCUUCUGUAAUUUGCUUGGCACCAUUUUCCCUGUUCGUGGGUGGAAGCAUCGGCCAACAUUGCAGGACCCACCUGCCUGAUAAUUUAAGAGUUCAUCUUCCUGUUUGCCUUUGAUGUACCCUGGGAACAUGGCUCCCUAGUUUCCCUGGGAACACAUACCCUCACCUGGAUUCCAGCCUCACACCAUGGAGACGUGGCUCCAUGGCAGACCAAGGAAUUCUUCCUAUGAUCUGAGUGGGAUUGCAGGCUGCCUGUUGGAUAGAUGUCUCCAGAGCAUCCUUACAUUUCCGUCACUUGCUUUGCAGACAUGAGGUCCUGAGUUUGCCCCUAGGAGCCAUGGAAAAAGCUGGGUCUGAUAACGGGUUUAUAAUCACAGCCCUGAGGAGGCAGAGACAGGGGGACCCCCAGGUCCUGGACACCCAGCUGAACUUAACCAGUGAAUUCCAGGCCAGUGAGGGACCAUUUCCAAAAAAAAAAAAGUGAUGCUAGGCAUGGUGGCAAACCCCUUUAAUCACAGUGUUUGGGAGGCAGAGGCAGGCAGAUCUUUCUGAGUUUAAGACCAGCCUCUCCCUGUGAUGACAUAUUUUCCUGAAAAUAUCUUUUGCCUUAGAAGAGAAGAAACGUUUUCCAGAUCCCACAGCAAGUUUAUGAUAUGCCUUCCAAUCAUUGAAGACUAUGUACCUAGCCUGCUGUCCUACUGUGUGCUUGGCCUGUUUAACUUUGACUUACCUUUAAGAGAUAAUGUAGCUAACCCUCUUGCCUUGAAUUUUCCUCGGCUUCUAUGACCUAACCUACACUCAUAGCUGUGCAUCUGGCAAGUCAGGGAAGAACUAGGCGCCUGAUCUUGGAAUCUAAAGGUUGGAAGUCUACAGUCAUUCCCCCUCUGUACUCUGCCUCGCUGUGUGUCUUCAGGACACUUCUAUACUCUGUGAUUUUUGCACCUGGAGUCCUUUGUUUCUCUUUGUGAGAGAUCUCAGCGGGUGACCCUGAGUGUCCUGUAGUCAUCUUGCAACAGAGCCGCAAAGCCAGAAGACACAUGGGAAGAUCAGCUCUGAAAACUGUGCACUGCUGAGCUGGGGUUAGGGACUUGCAAUCUCCAGAGAUUGUCACAGGGAAAAGGAGACCUGCUAAACACAGGGAGGGCCCCAACAGUGACAGUGAAAGCUAAUAUUGACCAUGGCCAACAGCAGUGGCUGAGGUCUCAUUAUGGACUGGACCGGAUUACAGACCAAAAAGGUGGUAGGUGGAUUUCUGAG